GUCUGUUCGGAGUUUCUAUCUCCUCCUGGUUUAAUUGAGAAGGGUUAUAUAUUUCCAGGAAUGUAUCCAUCACCUUCAUGAUUUCUAGUUUAUGCACGUAAAGCUCCAGUGUUAGGUGCAUAUAUAUUUAGGACUGUCAUAUUUUCCUGUUAGACUAGUCCUUGUAUCAUUAUAUAAUAUCACUCUUUGUCUUUUUUAACAGCUGUUCCUUUAAAGUUUGUUUGCCUGAUAUGAGAAUAGUGAGCCCUGCUUCCUUUUGGUG
rnacentral:lncRNA from 1 species